AAGGGUUUCCCCAUAAAAGCUACACUCUCUUCGCUGUUGAGACCAAAAGUUUGUAUGAUUGCCGAGAGUUUGUUUUAAGACUGUACUUUUAUCAGAGGGGGACUGUAAUGUGAGCACGCAAACCGGGAGGGGUACACGGGAUAUUUUAAAAUAUAUAUCCGUCCAGCGCUGAUGGCAGCUUAUAUGGAUUCUGGUUUGAACUACGAAGCAGGAUCUAUGAAACAUAUUCUACGAUGGCCCGUCACUGAAUCUGAGAGACUCGAGCAUCCACCCUCGCUAUUUAAACUUGGAACAGGGCAGUACGGCAGCUCAAUGCAUAUUCCUUGACGUCUUGCACUGCAUUACGCAAAUGCUGAUCGAGUUUGUGUUUCUAAAUAUUUCGAUUCCGUUAAUUUAACUAAAAAUAAUUUAUGCCUGGCAUUUCUGCAUACUGCUGUUAGAUUUAAAGCCUGACUCUAAUCUUAAUUCGAAAUUCCUAUAUGUUAAAUAAAAAAAAAAACCGAAUGAUUUUACUCAUAGCCAAGGAUCAACUGAAUUAUGAGUGAAAGAUACGAAAAAGCACACAGCUGUCAAUAUCAAACGU